CAUUUCCAAGUCUAGUGGUGAGGUUCGGUUUACCAUGUAUUUUAGGAUUGUGUAGUGGUAGGACCAGUCAGGCCCUUAAAAUGUAGGCAAAUUCCAAGUAAAAUAAUAGUUUUAAAAAUGUAUAUUAAAGUACGGAGUAUAACUAAAGAGGUGGCAAGUCCCGUUAGAACAUAAAAUGGCGGAGUCAUCGCCCGGUUGACGACUACUGCGUAGAUCCUCUUAAUUUUGAUUGUAAAAAGCAGGGGAAGACGUUUUUUAAGGAUAAGAUGUAAGACCCCGUAAGGUUCCGUCGUUAAACAACAUGGCCGCCUGUCCUAUCUACAAAACUAUAGACAAAUAGUUUCACCAAUUUACCAACUCGUUAUCGUGGACUGCGCAGGAUGGACCCUAGAUAUUCACCAGUAUUAAUAACACCUCCGUAAAUUAGAACGAAAUAAUUAAAAUUCAAGGUAUUAAUAUAGAUUUAUUUUAAUUUUUCUUCAUUUUAUUGCGAUAUUCACUAACGUUAUUGGGCACGAGACGAGUUCUUUAACUUUUUUUGCAAUUCGGUGCCCGAUUCUGCUAAUUUUUACAAUGUCGAAAAUCUUGGAAAUUUUCGCUUAGCGCAUUUUGAUAAUGCGGUUUAUUACAUAGAGUAGCAAACACAUGAGGUUUCUACGUAAACUGAACUCACACGAUCGAUGCGUUUCGACGGUAAAACUAUUAGCAGAAUUCAGGAUGUUCCAUUCGAAUGGAACAGUUCUAAUAUGAUAUUCCACACACUAAUACUAGUUUUAUGAUUAGCACUCAUUUUUACGAACACAAAGCAUGUUAGCAUAUUUAUCGCAUCCCAUUGAUUACAAUGGCUUAAACUGACAUCACCUAUCAUUUACCAAAUAGUUGGUACCAAGAGAGAUACUUGUCUGAAGUAUUGUCUGAAUGCUUACCAACAGUAAAUGUUAGUGUUAAUUGUACUAACUCAUUAGAGUAUCGUUAUAAUUAGAAGAAUCUGUUUUCACAUGAAACCUUGAAGACGCGGAGUUAGAUUUAACUAUUGCAAACUUAUUUAAUUUUUCAGAUGUUUUAUUAUUAUGUUGGCGGCGUCAGGCAGGCUUAUUAUCAGCGGAUCUUAGGCAGCGCUGUUAGUCCGUUACGAAAGUCGAACAAAACUUGGCAGCAGUAUACACAUGAGGCGCAUAUGAGAUUAUAUAUUUAGGUAUAACUUUAUAUAUAUUCACUAGCUAUAUAUAUUUAUAAUUAUAAUGUCUGAUACUGAUUAUGUGUUAGGACAAAUAUACCGUUCGAUGUUUUGGAUUUAUUAUGCAAUACAUUAUUUACGUUGUUUAAUUUAGUAAGGGGUCAGAAAAUAUUUUAUUAUGAACAUGAUUUAUUAUUCUCAUAGUUUGUAUUUCAUUCACAUGUUAGAGUUUAGUACAUAAAUUAUAGGUGUAAGUUGAUUUAUUACGGAGUUCCAAGUGUAAUGUUGAUCUUAUAGAGAAGUGAUAGGUAUGAAAAUGAGCACAAUAAACCGGGCGAUGACUUAGGUUAUUUUAUGAAUAGGUUAACGUUAUUAUUAUCACAUUCAGUGUUUGACAACUUACAGUAAACUAGAUUAAAGUCGGAUAAAACUUUGCAGUAAUUAGAUUAAUGCUUAGAUUAAAUUAUUGUACCGAUAGCAGCUGUGACUACAGCUUAGAUAUUACGGAAUAGUGUUAAGUCGUAGGCUAAUGUUUUAGCUUGUAUUAUUUGGCUAGACUAGGUAGGACCGUAGCCCCUGGUAUUUAGAGUUUGGGCAGGCCGUAGAUUCAGGACGUCCGUAUUUAGACUCCACAAAACGAAUCUGGAAGAAGCCUAAUUUGUUGGCAGGCUUAGACUAAAACUUCUAAAUUCACAGGCGCGGCUUCUCCUCACCGAGCUUAGGAAUGUAGGCAGACAAGCUAGAUAAGUUAUUAUAUUAUUACAUAGGACUGUAAUCAUAAAACGUAGAAGUAUAUUUUCAGUAAUUCUAAGUGAUAAUGGCUGCUAUUGAGAUAUUAUAAUUUGCAAUUAUUGUAAGGUUAUUUAAAGUUACACUUUAGGAAGUAUUUAGAUUUAGUCAAGUCAUUCGCUUCGGAUCACAUGCCCUUGAUUGCAAUUUUCUGCCGAAAACUAAUUCUGAGGAACUCGUUCAAACUAAAUGGAAUCCUAAAAAAUCUAAAUCGAUAAUUUGUGUACGUUAUGAUAAAACUUUAAUAUUUUGUAUUUAAAAUUAAAUUGUAAAUUCGAACGUUUUCUGUAUUAAUUGUUCUGCCCCGAACUUUAAAUUAAUUCUGUUAAAUAGAUAAACUUGAAAAUAACAUCUUUACUUCAUUCAACACAGAAGAAAAACUAUUGACGUCUGUAAAUCGUUGUAAAUUUUAUUAAUAAACCAUUAGUAAAUCGAAAUAUAGCAUUUAUUUAAC